rnacentral:rRNA from 1 species
AGAAUCAACGCUGGCGGCGUGCCUAACACAUGCAAGUCGAACGAGAAAGUGGAGCAAUCCAUGAGUAAAGUGGCGACCGGGUGAGUAACACGUGACUAACCUACCUUCGAGUGGGGGAUAACCUCGGGAAACCGAGGCUAAUACCGCAUAACAUCGCAAGAUCAAAGCAGCAAUGCGCUGGAAGAGGGGGUCGCGGCUGAUUAGCUAGUUGGCGGGGUAAUGGCCCACCAAGGCGAAGAUCGGUAGCCGGCCUGAGAGGGCGCACGGCCACACUGGAACUGAAACACGGUCCAGACUCCUACGGGAGGCAGCAGUGGGGAAUUUUGCGCAAUGGGGGAAACCCUGACGCAGCAACGCCGCGUGGAGGAUGAAGCCCCUUGGAGUGUAAACUCCUUUCGACCAAGACGAUAAUGACGGUACUGGUGGAAGAAGCACCGGCUAACUCUGCGCCAGCAGCCGC